GGUGGGUUGGCCGAGAGGCGAGGCAGCGGCCUGCAAAGCCGUACACACGGGUUCGAAUCCCGUACCCACCUC
rnacentral:tRNA from 2 species